UGGUGAGUGAGGAGUAAUCGAACGGGAAGGCUCUAGGGGUCGAAACAAGGCAAGACUCCCUAGAGUCUUUUCAU
rnacentral:sRNA from 1 species